CGGCGGACGGGUGAGUAACACGUGGAUAACCUACCUAUAAGACUGGGAUAACUUCGGGAAACCGGAGCUAAUACCGGAUAAUAUAUUGAACCGCAUGGUUCAAUAGUGAAAGACGGUUUUGCUGUCACUUAUAGAUGGAUCCGCGCCGCAUUAGCUAGUUGGUAAGGUAACGGCUUACCAAGGCAACGAUGCGUAGCCGACCUGAGAGGGUGAUCGGCCACACUGGAACUGAGACACGGUCCAGACUCCUACGGGAGGCAGCAGC
rnacentral:rRNA from 1 species